GGCAGUGGAGGUGAAGGUAUCUCUCUAGAGAUCCCUGUAUACCUAAGGAUUUUACAGGCCUUCUGAAGCCUCUGCCUGCAGUCUAUGGAUUCAUAGUCUGGGACCUAACAGCUCCUGCAGCUCCAUGUGGUUUCCAUCACCAGCAUGGGAAGGGCCUGAGUACCUUGCAGGAGAGACAGUUGCUGCUGCCUGGCCAGGUUAGUUAACAUCUGAUGUUACCAGCUGUAAUGUUGGAAGGUCUGCACCUUGUUGGCAUGAACAAGGAUCUGAUUGGUAAGAAGUUAUUUCAGCUACAGAAGAAGCCUGUCAAAGAUGGACUGACUACAAACUUCAGUAAUUAGCAGGUUCUUAAAGCUAAUGACAGUGAGAACAAGCCCAAAAUUGAAUGCUGUGUAGUCCUAAGGUCGCUUGACCAGCUGUUAGACAGGAUUUUGUCUCCAUGCAACUCCUGAUUGUGGCUAUAGUGGAGUCUCUUAAACUUUCAGUCGUCUGCUUCCUGACUCAUCUCCUG
ensembl:lncRNA